rfam:Triticum aestivum genome assembly, contig: Triticum_aestivum_CS42_TGACv1_scaffold_592465_7BS
UUACUUACCUGGACGGGGUCUAUGGGUGAUCAAUAAGACUCAUGGCCUAGACCAAUUGCUCACAUUGUACUUUGUGAGCGUGUUGAUCACUUUGUGAGCGUGUUGAUCUACCAUCUCCCCUUUGUGGGAGAGUGGACGUCGUAAUUUGUGAUGGGGUACGCGUUCGCGCGGCCCCUGC